UACGGAAGGCAGCAGUAGGGAAUCUUCCGCAAUGGGCGAAAGCCUGACGGAGCAACGCCGCGUGAGUGAUGAAGGUCUUCGGAUCGUAAAACUCUGUUAUUAGGGAAGAACAAACGUGUAAGUAACUGUGCACGUCUUGACGGUACCUAAUCAGAAAGCCACGGCUAACUACGUGCCAGCAGCCGCGGUAAUACGUAGGUGGCAAGCGUUAUCCGGAAUUAUUGGGCGUAAAGCGCGCGUAGGCGGUUUUUUUAAAGUCUGAUGUGAAAGCCCACGGCUCAACCGUGGAGGGUCAUUGGAAACUGGAAAACUUGAGUGCAGAAGAGGAAAGUGGAAUUCCAUGUGUAGCGGUGAAAUGCGCAGAGAUAUGGAGGAACACCAGUGGCGAAGGCGACUUUUCUGGGUCUGUAACUGACGCUGAUGUGCGAAAGCGUGGGGAUCAAACAGGGAUUAGAUACC
rnacentral:rRNA from 1 species